GUAGCUAUUGCUAGUGUUGAAAAGGUAUUCUCUUCAAUGAACUAUGUGAAGAAUAAGCUAAGGAAUAAAAUGGGUGAUGAUUAUUUGAACAAUUGUUUGGUUACAUUCAUUGAAAGAGAAUUUUUCAAUCAAGUGAAAGAUGAAGAUGUCAUCAAUGUGUUCCAAAAAAGGCAACCGCGGAGUUAUAUUGUAAGAAGGAUAUCAUCACUUUAUCAAUCAAAAGGUACUUAUGUAUUUAUGUCGUUAUGGUCUGAUACGUUGAAAUAUUGCUAUUGCCAUUAUGCUAGUGUUGUUUUGUUCAUAUAUUACUACUGUUGUGUUGUUUGGUUCAUAUAUAUAUAUACUACAUUUAGAGCAAAAAUAAUUUUUGAAUGA
rnacentral:rRNA from 1 species